rnacentral:rRNA from 1 species
AUUGAACGCUGGCGGCAGGCCUAACACAUGCAAGUCGGACGGUAGCACAGAGGAGCUUGCUCCUCGGGUGACGAGUGGCGGACGGGUGAGUAAUGUCUGGGGAUCUGCCCGAUAGAGGGGGAUAACCACUGGAAACGGUGGCUAAUACCGCAUAACGUCGCAAGACCAAAGAGGGGGACCUUCGGGCCUCUCACUAUCGGAUGAACCCAGAUGGGAUUAGCUAGUAGGCUGGGUAACGGCCCACCUAGGCGACGAUCCCUAGCUGGUCUGAGAGGAUGACCGGCCACACUGGAACUGAGACACGGUCCAGACUCCUACGGGAGGCAGCAGUGGGGAAUAUUGCACAAUGGGCGCAAGCCUGAUGCAGCCAUGCCGCGUGUAUGAAGAAGGCCUUCGGGUUGUAAAGUACUUUCAGCGGGGAGGAAGGCGAUGUGGUUAAUAACCGCGUCGAUUGACGUUACCCGCAGAAGAAGCACCGGCUAACUCCGUGCCAGCCGCCGCAGUAA